GGCAGACGGCUCAGUAACGCGUAGUCAACCUACCCUAUGGACGGGGAUAACCUCGGGAAACUGAGAAUAAUACCCGAUAGAACAUUAUGCCUGGAAUGGUUUAUGUUUCAAAUAAUUUAUUGCCGUAGGAUGGGACUGCGGCCUAUCAGUUUGUUGGUGAGGUAAUGGCCCACCAAGACUAUUACAGGUACGGGCUCUGAGAGGAGUAGCCCGGAGAUGGGUACUGAGACACGGACCCAGGCCCUAUGGGGCGCAGCAGGCGAGAAAACUUUGCAAUGUGCGAAAGCACGACAAGGUUAAUCCGAGUGGUUUCUGCUAAAGGAACCUUUUGUCAGUCCUAGAAACACUGAUGAAUAAGGGGUGGGCAAGUUCUGGUGUCAGCCGCCGCGGUAAAACCAGCACCUCAAGUGGUCAGGAUGAUUAUUGGGCCUAAAGCAUCCGUAGCCUGCUUUGUAAGUUUUCGGUUAAAUCCAUAUGCUCAACGUAUGGGCUGCCGGGAAUACUGCAAAGCUAGGGAGUGGGAGAGGUAGACGGUACUCGGUAGGAAGGGGUAAAAUCCUUUGAUCUAUUGAUGACCACCUGUGGCGAAGGCGGUCUACCAGAACACGUCCGACGGUGAGGGAUGAAAGCUGGGGGAGCAAACCGGAUUAGAUACCCGGGUAGUCCCAGCUGUAAACUAUGCAAACUCAGUGAUGCAUUGGCUUGAUGCCAAUGCAGUGCUGCAGGGAAGCCGUUAAGUUUGCCGCCUGGGAAGUACGUACGCAAGUAUGAAACUUAAAGGAAUUGGCGGG
rnacentral:rRNA from 1 species